rnacentral:rRNA from 1 species
GAUGAACGCUGGCGGCGUGCCUAAUACAUGCAAGUCGAGCGAACAGACGAGGAGCUUGCUCCGCUGACGUUAGCGGCGGACGGGUGAGUAACACGUGGAUAACCUACCUAUAAGACGGGGAUAACUUCGGAAAACCGGUGCUAAUACCGGAUAAUAUAUUGAACCGCAUGGUUCAAUAGUGAAAGACGGCUUUGCUGUCACUUAUAGAUGGAUCCGCGCCGCAUUAGCUAGUUGGUAAGGUAACGGCUUACCAAGGCGACGAUGCGUAGCCGACCUGAGAGGGUGAUCGGCCACACUGGAACUGAGACACGGUCCAGACUCCUACGGGAGGCAGCAGUAGGGAAUCUUCCGCAAUGGGCGAAAGCCUGACGGAGCAACGCCGCGUGAGUGAUGAAGGUCUUCGGAUCGUAAAACUCUGUUAUUAGGGAAGAACAAAUGUGUAAGUAACUAUGCACGUCUUGACGGUACCUAAUCAGAAAGCCACGGCUAACUACGUG